rnacentral:rRNA from 1 species
CGGAUGGGGCAAUAUCUCGUGCGUGUCGAGCGGUAGCCUAAGAGAGCCAUUACCGCACCUCGUAGGGCGUCCGACCUGGUCAAUCUGAUAACCUGAGGCCCGAAGGUCCGAUUCUUUGGGAAACGAACGAUGAUCGGAAUCUGCGACCGUUUCCAGAAGAGAUCCCCCUUCAUCAGCUCUUGCCCCAGACAUUACUCACCCGUCCGCCGCACGACACGGAGAGCAAGCUCACCUGUGCGAACGAUCCCUAGCUGGUCGGAAAGCAUGGCCGGCCGCGCUGGAACUGAGCCAUGAUCAAUCUCUG